ACUUCUGCUCGGCCAUUCAACUAAUUAGGCUCCGAAUUACGCCAAUGGCACUUUUAAGGUUUGCGCAAGUCCUCUCGUUGGAAGGCUGCGAAGGUAUUAACAGUAGUAAAUUGUUUUAAGUAUGCGUCCCGAGGUAAUUUCGAUUAUGCGCGUUUAAUCCGUAAAAAAGAUUAUUUUUAUUGGUUUCCUCGGUAAUCUCAUUUCACUGUAUGCCGCAUUCUCUUGAUUUUCUAUCAGAAUUAUUCCAUUUUUGAAUUAAUACGAAUUUUGUUGUUCCCGUCACCAAAGUAGAAUGAACAGGUGAAUCUAACGGAAACAGUUGCGAAAGAAACGAUAUGGCCAAGUUUGUCUUCAGACUCGACAUGCCUGGCGCUUAAACAUCCCAGUCGCGAUCUUGCUAAUUAUUAUUAGGUAACGCGCGUUAGACUAUGUAUGCGAAAAUAAUGAACAGUGCCUACUGUUUCUAUUCGUCAGUAUAAAUUUCUCGCUCGCCUAGUUAGGCGUGUUCCAAUUGAAUAGGAACACCGUCGAGCAUUCUGUUUUUUUUUUGUCUUCGUUGACGUAUACUUAUCAACGGAUCGCACUCGUCGAUCUUAUAUGGAAAUAAUAUCGAGUGUUUCCAUCUACAAACCGCAAUUAUUAAGCCGCUUUGGAGUAUAAAGCCUGGUUUCUAGAUCAACACAACGGUUCGACGAAGGUCAGGCGACUAAUCAUGCCGAGGAAUGCAAUCUGUCCGCGAUUCGUCGAGGCCUCCCGUAAUUAGACAAACCACUGAUGACACUGUGUUCCAAUUACGAACAACACAUUGAGUUUAUUCAUAAAUCUAUAUUAACUCUUCGCUAAAUUCUCCCAGAGUGUCCGUGGGGGCUGUUAUGGGGUUGUACGAACAUCCCCAUUUGGAAUGAAAGGUUCUGUUCUUAAAUUUUCUUAAAACAUUUUCUUUGUUGACGAUAUAAUUUAGUGAUAACUUGAGAGAAGUACGCAAAGAUAAUUUAUCUGCAAUCACGUACAAUCGAAUCACAAAUUCGUCGAAUUUGAAUCACAUUGCUGUCGAAUUGUUUCGAGAUACGUAACUUCCGGUAUGUGAACCGAGAAUGAAUUUUGGGACCGAAGGACAACGAACUCGCACUUCCAUUCCGUGAUACAUAGCUGUUAGUCAUCGCUGUAUCGUCAUCUAUGAUUCUGAAACGCGUAACGCCCGAAGGCAUUCUAAUGUGGCAAUAGUUAUUGGCUUGUGUUCUCUGUAGAAUCACGUCAUUGCACUCGUAUCAGCGACAAAAGUAUCGUAAACAAAUGUGUCAGCGUGCUACGCUAAGCUUAGGCUUGUCAAUAGAACUGAUGGGGAGCCGAACUUGACAUCGCACGAGGUUUCUUCGUCGGUUCUUACUCGAUAAAUUGCAUUCGUGACGUAUCCUUGCCGAGAUGACCCAGUUACGAGCUCGAACCCCUUGAAAUCGUACGUACGAGAAUUUAUCGAGUGCGACUGAAGGCCGUCGAGAGAAUCUUUUCCGACGGCGCGGCGGCGAGUGGAUAGGUAAUGAGAACAUCGAAGAUUCGAACGCCCGCCAUCGCGUGGAUAGAUGAAACGUGAAUCGUGAUCACGACCUGAUCUGACAAUUGAAAUGCAACAAAUGUCGCCAGUGAGAUUCGCUUGUAAACAUUGAAUUAAAUAUGGACUUUUAUAUUGCCUAAGACACCUAAAAAGUGACAUAUUUCUCGGUUUCUUUUUAUCUUAACGAACCAUGCGGAUUCAUAGAAAUAAUUCGAUGUAUAAUAUAAUAUUGCUUGUAUAUAACCUUAUAGUAUUUUAUUUUCAUAUAAAUUCAAAUCAUUAUAAUAAAUCGUAUGGAUCCAAGGCCGCGCUAUUUGCAAGUAUUG